rnacentral:rRNA from 1 species
AUUGAACGCUGGCGGCAGGCCUAACACAUGCAAGUCGAGCGAGCGGCGGACGGGUGAGUAAUGUCUGGGAAACUGCCUGAUGGAGGGGGAUAACUACUGGAAACGGUAGCUAAUACCGCAUACCAUCAGAUGUGCCCAGGUGGGAUUAGCUAGUAGGUGGGGUAACGGCUCCACUAGGCGAAGAUCCCUAGCUGGUCUGAGAGGAGGACCAGCCACAGUGGAACUGAGAAACGGUCCAGCCUCCUACGGGAGGCAGCAGUGGGGAAUAUUGCACAAGGGGCGAAAGCCUGAUGCAGCCAGGCCGCGUGUAUGAAGAAGGCCUUCGGGUUGUAAAGUACUUUCAGCGGGGAGGCGUUACCCGCAGAAGAAGCACCGGCUAACUCCGUGCCAGCAGCCGCGGUAAUUC